GGGUGUGACCACUGACCAGGUUACUCAGUGGAACACUGAGAGUAGACUAUAGGGGUGUGACCACUGACCAGGUUACUCAGUGGAACACUGAGAGUAGACUAUAGGGGUGUGACCACUGACCAGGUUACUCAGUGGAACACUGAGAGUAGACUAUAGGGGUGUGACCACUGACCAGGUUACUCAGUGGAACACUGAGAGUAGACUAUAGGGGUGUGACCACUGACCAGGUUACUCAGUGGAACACUGAGAGUAGACUAUAGGGGUGUGACCACUGACCAGGUUACUCAGUGGAACACUGAGAGUAGACUAUAGGGGUGUGACCACUGACCAGGUUACUCAGUGGAACACUGAGAGUAGACUAUAGGGGUGUGACCACUGACCAGGUUACUCAGUGGAACACUGAGAGUAGACUAUAGGGGUGUGACCACUGACCAGGUUACUCAGUGGAACACUGAGAGUAGACUAUAGGGGUGUGACCACUGACCAGGUUACUCAGUGGAACACUGAGAGUAGACUAUAGGGGUGUGACCACUGACCAGGUUACUCAGUGGAACACUGAGAGUAGACUAUAGGGGUGUGACCACUGACCAGGUUACUCAGUGGAACACUGAGAGUAGACUAUAGGGGUGUGACCACUGACCAGGUUACUCAGUGGAACACUGAGAGUAGACUAUAGGGGUGUGACCACUGACCAGGUUACUCAGUGGAACACUGAGAGUAGACUAUAGGGGUGUGACCACUGACCAGGUUACUCAGUGGAACACUGAGAGUAGACUAUAGGGGUGUGACCACUGACCAGGUUACUCAGUGGAACACUGAGAGUAGACUAUAGGGGUGUGACCACUGACCAGGUUACUCAGUGGAACACUGAGAGUAGACUAUAGGGGUGUGACCACUGACCAGGUUACUCAGUGGAACACUGAGAGUAGACUAUAGGGGUGUGACCACUGACCAGGUUACUCAGUGGAACACUGAGAGUAGACUAUAGGGGUGUGACCACUGACCAGGUUACUCAGUGGAACACUGAGAGUAGACUAUAGGGGUGUGACCACUGACCAGGUUACUCAGUGGAACACUGAGAGUAGACUAUAGGGGUGUGACCACUGACCAGGUUACUCAGUGGAACACUGAGAGUAGACUAUAGGGGUGUGACCACUGACCAGGUUACUCAGUGGAACACUGAGAGUAGACUAUAGGGGUGUGACCACUGACCAGGUUACUCAGUGGAACACUGCCCAUUGGUGUUCAUGUGAUUGGAAUAUCAGGGUUUUUGUCUCAGAGAAGACAUACGUCAUUGUCAUCUAUGUACUGUAAGGGACUAUUCCCAGGACCACCCAAACAUAAAAUGUAUGCCUGCGUGACUGUAAGUCACUUUGUGUGAAAGCGUCUGCUAAAUGCCAUAUGUAUUAUUGUGUGACCUGGGUGUGACCAGGUACACUAAGGGAUGCUGAACACUACCCACUGGUGCUAGAGAGAAACAAUAUCAGGUGUGUUGUUCCUAAUCUGUCACUGACAACAUGGGCAUAAAACCAAAAAUACAGGACGUAUUGUAACUUGACAUCACUGUCAUUAUUUAUACAUGUGUUGUUUGGGAAGAUCAGGUGAGAGGAGAUCCUGUGUCUCUGACUGGUUCGGAGUUGGUUGAAUCUGGCAGGAUAAGGGUGGAGGGUGUGUGUGUUUAUACACGUAUGUACGUGCGUGUGUU